rnacentral:rRNA from 1 species
UACGUAGGGCGCAAGCGUUGUCCGGAAUUAUUGGGCGUAAAGAGCUCGUAGGCGGUCUGUCGCGUCGGCUGUGAAAACCCGGAGCUCAACUCCGGGCCUGCAGUCGAUACGGGCAGACUGGAGUUCGGCAGGGGAGACUGGAAUUCCUGGUGUAGCGGUGAAAUGCGCAGAUAUCAGGAGGAACACCGGUGGCGAAGGCGGCUCACUGGCCCGUAACUGACGCUCAUGCACGACAGCGUGGGGAUCAAACAGG